GACGAACGCUGGCGGCGUGCUUAACACAUGCAAGUCGAACGGAAAGGCCCUGCUUUUGUGGGGUGCUCGAGUGGCGACCGGGUGAGUAACACGUGAGUAACCUGCCCUUGACUUUGGGAUAACUUCAGGCAACUUGGGCUAAUACCGGAUAGGAGCUCCUGCUGCUUGGUGGGGGUUGGAUAGUUUCGGCGGUUGGGGAUGGACUCGCGGCUUAUCAGCUUGUUGGUGGGGUAGUGGCUUACCAAGGCUUUGACGGGUAGCCGGCCUGAGAGGGUGACCGGCCACAUUGGGACUGGGAUGCGGCCCAGACUCCAACGGGAGGCAGGGGUGGGGAAUAGUGCACAAGGGGCGGAAGCCUGAUGCAGCAAAGCAGCGUGCGGGAUGACGGCAUUCGGGUUGUAAACCGCUGUCGCCUGUGACGAAGCGUGAGUGACGGUAAUGGGUAAAGAAGCACCGGCUAACUACGUG
rnacentral:rRNA from 1 species